UCUAAUAUGACAGAAAAAUGUAAUGAAUUUAAGAUUCAUAAAUGAAUUUUUAUUCUAUUAGAA
rnacentral:tRNA from 1 species